UACGUAGGGUGCAAGCGUUGUCCGGAAUUAUUGGGCGUAAAGAGCUUGUAGGCGGUUUGUCGCGUCUGCUGUGAAAUUUCGGGGCUCAACCCCGAACUUGCAGUGGGUACGGGCAGACUAGAGUGUGGUAGGGGAGACUGGAAUUCCUGGUGUAGCGGUGAAAUGCGCAGAGAUCUGGAAGAACACCAAAGGCGAAGGCAGCAUCCUGGGAAGGCACUGACGCUAAUGUGCGAAAGCCAGGGGAGCGAACGGG
rnacentral:rRNA from 1 species